rnacentral:rRNA from 1 species
UGGGGAAUUUUGGACAAUGGGCGAAAGCCUGAUCCAGCAAUGCCGCGUGUGUGAAGAAGGCCUUCGGGUUGUAAAGCACUUUUGUCCGGAAAGAAAUCCUUGGCUCUAAUACAGUCGGGGGAUGACGGUACCGGAAGAAUAAGCACCGGCUAACUACGUGCCAGCAGCCGCGGUAAUACGUAGGGUGCAAGCGUUAAUCGGAAUUACUGGGCGUAAAGCGUGCGCAGGCGGUUUGCUAAGACCGAUGUGAAAUCCCCGGGCUCAACCUGGGAACUGCAUUGGUGACUGGCAGGCUAGAGUAUGGCAGAGGGGGGUAGAAUUCCACGUGUAGCAGUGAAAUGCGUAGAGAUGUGGAGGAAUACCGAUGGCGGAGGCAGCCCCCUGGGCCAAUACUGACGCUCAUGCACGAAAGCGUGGGGAGCAAACAGGAUUAGAUACCCUGGUAGUCCACGCCCUAAACGAUGUCAACUAGUUGUUGGGGAUUCAUUUCCUUAGUAACGUAGCUAACGCGUGAAGUUGACCGCCUGGGGAGUACGGUCGCAAGAUUAAAACUCAAAGGAAUUGACGGGGUCAUGCUGUUUCCU